rnacentral:misc_RNA from 1 species
GAUGUUACCCUUGUCAUACAGGUAUAUUGUUUUCAUUUUAGGCAUUCACAAUUUGGAUAAUGGCCUUGUGCUCUUGAAAUAUGCAUUUUUUUUAAGAAAUACGGGCAUUUAAUUCACAAGUCAUGAAGUUUGAGGACUCGGAGUACAUUGCACAUUGAUCUCAUCUGGAUUAUAUUUAUUUUAACCUUUUUUUAAUACAUUUUUUAUUCCAUCUCUCAAAAAUUUGAAGAAUACUAUACUUUUCACUUGUUUUAAUAAAGAAAAGAAAAAAAAUGUUGUAUGCACAGGUGGGCUUG